AUUAGCUCUAAUCGGGUCAAGCUUCCGGCGGAUUUACAUUUUCCCCAAAUCGACAAACGAACACUAUGAGUUGAGAGCUACUCGUCGGUGAUCGGACUUCGGUGGAAUACUAUCUUAGACGUCGAUUAUUAGAUAGCCUGCUUUGGCUUACAUAAUGCCUCGUAGUCGCAAUGCCAUUGUUGCUACUGGCUUAGUUGCCUUUGUCGCUGCUGGCUUAGCAUUCCCGUUUUACAUGGCGUGAGUAAACCUUUUCAGCUCUUACUUCAUGUACAUUAUCUCUGAUCCAGGUCCCGAUCAUCAAGAGCAAUGCCCGUGAUUGAUUCAUCAAAAGCGCUACCACCUCAGGCAACUUUUCGUGGACCUUAUAUCAAUACUGGUUCGCGUGAUAUUGGACCUGAUCAACACACUUACCCUAAGAAAUAAUUUCUCCUUUAUGUAUAUUUUCUUAAUUUAGAUUGUUUUGUAUGGCAUGCGAAUUCUUUCACCUAUACUUUCACUCAAUGAGAGCAUCCAGAAUUCUAUUGCUUCUAACACCGCAAUGGAGAAGCAAUUUGUUGUCUCUUUGCGAGAAGAGAGGAAAAAGAAAAUGUAAUAAACUAUACCAAAGCAUGCUCUAAGCAGUUUUUUUAAGUUUCAAUUAGUUUAAGCUAAAUAGCUAUUUAUUAAA